rnacentral:rRNA from 1 species
GGAGUCUGGGCCGUGUCUCAGUCCCAAUGUGGCCGUUCAACCUCUCAGUCCGGCUACUGAUCGUCGACUUGGUGAGCCGUUACCUCACCAACUAUCUAAUCAGACGCGAGCCCAUCUCUGAGUGAUAAAUCUUUGAUACAUAUGUCAUGCGGCAUUUGUAUGUCAUAGGGUAUUACCAUCCGUUUCCAGAAGCUAUCCCCCUCUCAGAGGCAGGUUGCUCACGUGUUACUCACCCGUCCGCCACUAAGAAUUUCGAAUAAAUCCAAAAUUCUCCGUUCGACUUGCAUGUGUUAAGCGUGCCGCCAGCGUUCGUCCUCGAGCCACGGAUCAAACUCU